CUCAAAAGCCCGUUACGAGCACAAUAAUAUAUGUAAUCCACGGCGCACGCCUGCGUAAAAAAAGCGAUUCCAACAAUACCAAAUUGUUGGCCAACAUCAAGAACCCAUGGAAGGAAAGCAUCAUAGAGUAUGCAAUCAAUAGGAUGGGGUGAGUUCUUAUGCUUUAUGAUAAGUUCGGUCAAGGUUUUUGACCCAACAGUUUGUAAUCGUACAAGGUAAUCAUCAACACUCUCGACUUGUAAGAAUCCGCCUUUAUCACAACCGUCUGAAAUUGUGUCGAAAUUGAUGUCGGAGUUGAGUAAUUCGGGUUUCAUGGUUUCGGAGAUGAAGACAGUGGUGGCAAAGGUUGCUUUGAGUCCUUUGGAGGAUAAGCGUUUGGAGAAUUGAAGCAUUGGGUUAAUAUGGCCUUGGCUUGGAUAAGGAAUGACCAAUACAUGAACCCUUUUGUUAGCUUUUUUCUCCAUUGGUUUUUGUUCUCCAAUAUAAUUUAUGAUCUUCAAGAAUAUUGGAGUAUGCUAUUUAUAUUGGUAGAGUGUGUAAGACCACGACUAAUCUUAAAAGGAGUGGAUGGAAAAAGGAUUAUGUCAUAUCAAUGGAUAGAGCUCUAUCGUCCCAAUUAUAGGGAAACAAUAAAGUAACGAGCUUUUCUUUGAGUUGUUUAUCUUCAUAACCGAUCGAGUAUAUUUUUUGAUACAAUGUAUAGAAUUAUUAAUAACUCCUAACCCUUAAAUAAGUGAAUAAACGCGUUUCAACACACUCGAACUCACGUCGUCCUACAUUGCCAAUAAUAUUCACACCAAUCGAACCAAUACUGAAUUGACACAUAUUAAAUAUAUUUUGAAAUAUCAAUCAAUAUCAAAAUAUGAGUAAAAAAUAAAACGAUAUAUAGGUUUACAAGUGUGGAAGGAUUUUGAUCAUAGGAUCUCAGAAAAAUAUAGAUAAGAUGAUUUCAUCCACACAAAAUAUAGGCAAUAUUUUCAACUUUACACCGAAUACAAACAAUGUUCCUUGAUUGAAUCUAAAAUUAUUGAACCAUCCAUCCCUUUCAUGAUAAUGAUACCUUUUGGGUUCAAACGUUCAAUAAUUCAACAAAUAUUCUUCUACCACAUACUAUACGUAGACUUGUACAGCCCGACCCGAAGGUCUGUCCGAAAAAUAAAAAUAUUUGGAUAAAAAUAUAAGCUUAAUUGCUUAUAAGAUGAGUUUCGGUAAAAAAAUAAGGCUCGUUUAGAAAACGGGUUGAGUCCUAGGUAAAGUUUUUUGGCCCCGAGCCUGGCCCAGAUACAUGUCUAAAAGCAUCGAUACCCUUAACAAAGUAUUUGUACUUUCACAAAAGUAUUGAUACCCUGCUUAAGGUUAGAUGUUUUGAAAAUUAAAGAAAAAUUGCUUGAGUGUCGAUACCCUCUCUAAGGUGUUGAUACCACAUAAUGUAUCGAGAUUAUAGGUUUUAAUACAGGUCAGGUCAGUCCGGGCCCGAGGUUAGCAUAUAUAAUCUAGGCCGGGUUUGGGUAAAAAUUUACACCCAAUUUUGGGCUGAACUUAAAAUUUUGUUGAAACUCGGCCUGACACAUGGAUAACUCUAAUCACAUAUAUUUCUUUUUACCUCGUUCCGUAUUAAAUUUUGAUUAAUUUAGAGUUAAAUUUUUAAAUAAGAAGCAAAACUCUUUUAACAUAGUUGUCUCCGUUUAUAAAAUUUGAAUUUUAAAACAAAGAUAUAAGUUUCUUAUCUCUCGACAUAAUAAGCAUUGAUAGAGACAAUGAUGAAUCCAGUACAUAUUAUAAAAGAAGUCAAAAAUAUUACUAAUGGCAGCAAUAGAACCACUUGUUCCCUUUGUAUCAAAUUUUCAAUUUUAUAACAUUUUAUUUUUUAUUUUUUAUAUGUCAUAUGAAUAUUAAAAAUAUAACAUUAUAAUAUAAAUAUUAAAUAAUAUUUACGCUUAAAUAUUAUAAAAUUCAGUCCAUGCAAAAAAUGUUUAUCAGGAAUUUUGAGAACUCUUUACAUCCAUUGUACCAGAGCCGAAUAAUCAUAUCGAUUUAAGAAAUUUUGAGUGAAAUUUGUGUUCAAUUUGAUCAUAAUUGAGUCACUCUAGUUUUUACCUAUUUUCUAAUAACAUAUAAUAUGUGUUAUUGCAUAAAUCAAUUGAACUAAGUCUCGGAUUUGUGAUUUUAAGUAUUUUGUUUACUAAGAACACUAACCCUAUUUACAUCGUGCCAAUAUUUUAGAGACCAAUUCAUCAAUAUUCUUGUCCGAACUUCCACCUUCGCAUACUGCUUCCACAGCCAAUUCCUUCCAUUUCAUAGCAUUUCUUUUCAUUUCAAUCCCUUGUUCCCCUUCCAUCACUUGUCUAAUACACCUCUCUAUUUCAUCUCCACUCACAAUCCCAUCCUCCCUCACAUUAACUCGAACCCCAACUUUCCAAACAUCCUCAACUAGCUUAGCAUCCGUGGUUUGGUCGGCCCACUGUGGCAUCGCCACCAUCGGUACCCCCAAACACAAGGCCUCAAUCGUCGAGUUCCACCCACAAUGCGUGAAAAAACACCCUAUGGCCUCAUUCGCAAGUACCUCGGUUUGUGGUAUCCAAGUAACUAUCAAUGCUUUAUCACCCAUUUCCUCAAUGAACCCGUGUGGGACUUUCGGUAACUCGGAAGACCGAACCACCCACAAGAGAUGAAACCCAGUUUGCUUUAAACCCCGUGCGAGUUCCUUCAUUUGGUUGCUGGUUAGGUUAGCCAAGCUUCCAAAUGAGACGUAAACGACCGAGCAUGGUGGCUUGGUGGUUAGCCAACAUGUACUGGUAGAGUCUAGUUUAAAGAGAUUGAGAUCGUAAUCUUUGUCGUUUUCAAGUCUUUUAUCUACACACAUGGAUGGGAUUGUUGGGCCUAUCGUUAACAAUGGUUGAGUCAUCACCUUCGACAUUGAAUCAACAACCUGUUUAUAGCAAAGAGAUCGUUACAAAAUGGUAAAAGUACCUUGCAUGUCCUUAUACCACUUGCUGCAUUUUGGUUUUUAUACUUUUAAAAAUAGUAACAAUAUAAUAGCGAAAUAAUAACAAAUCAAUAAAAAACAGUGAUAAAAUAGCAAAAGCUUUUUUUUUUACAAAUUCGUGCCGAGCCUAGGCAAAAAAAAGCUUUCCCAUUUUUCGGGCUUAUAUUUUCCCAAAAUCUUCUCACUUUUCGGGCUGCCCUUCGGGUUGAACUGGGUGACUCGGCCCAUGUAUAAGUCUAGGUUUUAGUUAGGGUUUUGAAACCAGUUCUCUAGCUAUCACUACCACCCGGGUGAAUAAAGAUUUUUUUUGUCUCAAUUUGGUACUUAAGUUUGGCUUAAAUGUUCAAUUUGAUACCUGAGUUUUUUUUGUCCCAGUUAGGUAUUUGUGUUUUUCUACAAGAAAACACAAGUCAAAGAUUCAUUAGGCAAUAUGAUGUCGUUUGGUUUAAAUACCAAAUUGAAUAUUGAAAUUAAACUUAAAUAUCAAAUUGAAAAGAAAAAAACUUAAAUACCAAAUUUGAAACUAAACUUAAUACUAAAUGAUAUAUUAAACGCUUGAAUUUCUAGAAAAAAAGAUAAAUUUAGUAUAAUAAUAAAAUGAAAUAUUUAAAUACUAUUAAUUUAUAUUGAUAUGAUUGACAUCGAAAAUUAUUAUUAAUUGAAGUUAUUAUUAACUAAGCCCAAAAUUAUUAGAGCAGAACUCAAUCAAGUCCUAUAAUUGAGAAGAAAAUUGAGAGAGAGAGAGAGAGAGAGAGCUUUGUAUAGUUAAAAGUAAACUAACCUCUUGUUCCAACUUGUAGAAGGUAUUAACUAAAAUGAAAUCAGCUUUGUCUAUAUUAGAGAAUUGAUUCAACACCAACUUGAAAUGAGAUGGAUACGAACCCACAACAUAGAUAAAUGAUGGCAUGUCUCGAAGAUCAAGCAACGGCAACCCGGGAAUGACAAUUGGCAUCAUUGACGAUGAAAUCGGAAGACUCAAAAGCCCAUUAUGAACAUAAUAAUAUAUGUAAUCCACAGCGCACGCCUGCGUAAAAAAAGCGAUUCCAACAAUACCAAAUUGUUGGGCAACAUCAAGAACCCAUGGAAGGAAAGCGUCAUAGAGUAUGCAAUCAAUAGGAUGAGGUGAGUUCUUAUGCUUUAUGAUAAGUUCGGUCAAGGUUUUUGACCCAACAGCUUGUAAUCGUACAAGGUAAUCGUCAAUAUCCCCGAGUGCAAAGAAUCCCUCUUUAUCACAACCGUCUGAUAUCGUGUCGAAAUCGAUUUCGGAGUUGAGCAAUUCGGGUUUCAUGGUUUCAGAGAUGAAGACAGUGGUGGCAAAGGUUGCUUUGAGUCCUUUGGAGGAUAAGCGUUUGGAGAAUUGAAGCAUUGGGUUAAUAUGGCCUUGCGUCGAAUAAGGAAUGACCAAUACAUGACCCCUUUUGUUAACUUUUUUCUCCAUUUGCUUUUGUUCUCCAAUAUAAUUUAUGAU
rnacentral:lncRNA from 1 species